rnacentral:rRNA from 1 species
GUCUAUGGCCAUGCUACCUUGAACAUGCCCAAUCCUGUCUGAUUUCAGAAGCCAAGCAGGGUCGGGCCUGGUUAGUACUUGAAUGGGAGACCACCUAGGAAUACCAAGUGCUGCAGACA